rnacentral:rRNA from 1 species
CCGUAGGUCCUCUGUUAAAUCCAACCGCUCAACGGUUGACCUGCAGAGGAUACCGCGGGACUAGGAGGCGGGAGAGGCGGACGGUACUCCGCGUGUAGGGGUAAAAUCCUUUGAUCCGCGGAAGACCACCAGUGGCGAAGGCGGUCCGCCAGAACGCGCUCGACGGUGAGGGAUGAAAGCUGGGGGAGCGAACCGGAUUAGAUACCCGGGUAGUCCCAGCCGUAAACGAUGCUAGCUAGAUGAUUCAUUCGCAAGUCUCGAAUGAAGUGUCGCAGGGAAGCCGUUAAGCUAUCCGCCUGGUGAGUACGGUCGCAAGACUGAAA